rnacentral:lncRNA from 1 species
GGGUCGCCUCUGCUCCCGGUGCUUGGCUAGGACCCGCGAGGCUCUACCGCCCCAGAGAGAGUCUCUCCUGGUGGGGAGCGGCGGCCCCGGGAGGGGAGGUAGUGGCCCGAGGGGCUGGAGCCGGUCAUACCAGGUCGUCACAGUCUGUAUCCUGUUCCGGCUCAUCACCAUGCCUGUGUGACAAUCGGCCACUCUUGGGGAGCUCAGACUUCACCUCUGCCUCUUGAUCCUGCUGGGGUCCCGCACAACACAGUCCAUGAACACUGCAUCAUCCUUGGUUCCGUGAUGCCCAGUGGAUCCUGUCAUCACCUGAAUAUUACCAAGUAAACAGAACACCA